GGAAAGUCGUAACAAGGUCUCCGUAGGUGAGCCUGCGGAGGGAUCAUUACAGAGUUCAUGCCCUACCGGGUAGAUCUCCCACCCUAUGUUAUUAUUACUUUGUUGCUUUGGCGGGCCGUUAGGCUCCGGCCCGACUACCGGCCCCGGCUGGUAAGCGCCCGCCAGAGGACCCAAAACCCUGAAUAUUAGUGUCGUCUGAGUACUAUAUAAUAGUUAAAACUUUCAACAACGGAUCUCUUGGUUCUG
rnacentral:misc_RNA from 1 species